rnacentral:rRNA from 1 species
AGAGUUUGAUCCUGGCUCAGAUUGAACGCUGGCGGCAUGCCUUACACAUGCAAGUCGAACGGCAGCACGGGAGCAAUCCUGGUGGCGAGUGGCGAACGGGUGAGUAAUGUAUCGGAACGUACCUUUCAGUGGGGGAUAACGUAGCGAAAGUUACGCUAAUACCGCAUAUUCUGUGAGCAGGAAAGCAGGGGAUCGCAAGACCUUGCGCUGAUUGAGCGGCCGAUAUCAGAUUAGCUAGUUGGUGAGGUAAAGGCUCACCAAGGCGACGAUCUGUAGCGGGUCUGAGAGGAUGAUCCGCCACACUGGAACUGUGACACGGUCCAGACUCCUACGGGAGGCAGCAGUGGGGAAUUUUGGACAAUGGGGGCAACCCUGAUCCAGCCAUGCCGCGUGAGUGAAGAAGGCCUUCGGGUUGUAAAGCUCUUUCAGCCGGGAAGAAAUCACAUGGGUUAAUACCCUGUGUGGAUGACGGUACCGGAAUAAGAAGCACCGGCUAACUACGUGCCAGCAGCCGCGGUAAUACGUAGGGUGCGAGCGUUAAUCGGAAUUACUGGGCGUAAAGUGUGCGCAGGCGGCUUUGCAAGACAGACGUGAAAUCCCCGGGCUCAACCUGGGAACUGCGUUUAUGACUGGCAGGCUAGAGUAUGGCAGAGGGGGGUGGAAUUCCACGUGUAGCAGUGAAAUGCGUAGAGAUGUGGAGGAACACCGAUGGCGAAGGCAGCCCCCUGGGCCAAUACUGACGCUCAUGCACGAAAGCGUGGGUAGCAAACAGGAUUAGAUACCCUGGUAGUCCACGCCCUAAACGAUGUCAACUAGGUGUUGGGUGGGUAAAACCAUUUAGUACCGGAGCUAACGCGUGAAGUUGACCGCCUGGGGAGUACGGCCGCAAGGUUAAAACUCAAAGGAAUUGACGGGGACCCGCACAAGCGGUGGAUGAUGUGGAUUAAUUCGAUGCAACGCGAAAAACCUUACCUACCCUUGACAUGUCCAGAAGCUCUUAGAGAUUUGAGUGUGCCCGAAAGGGAACUGGAACACAGGUGCUGCAUGGCUGUCGUCAGCUCGUGUCGUGAGAUGUUGGGUUAAGUCCCGCAACGAGCGCAACCCUUGUCGUUAAUUGCCAUCAUUUAGUUGGGCACUUUAACGAGACUGCCGGUGACAAACCGGAGGAAGGUGGGGAUGACGUCAAGUCCUCAUGGCCCUUAUGGGUAGGGCUUCACACGUCAUACAAUGGUCGGUACAAAGGGUUGCCAACCCGCGAGGGGGAGCUAAUCCCAGAAAGCCGAUCGUAGUCCGGAUCGUAGGCUGCAACUCGCCUGCGUGAAGUCGGAAUCGCUAGUAAUCGUGGAUCAGCAUGUCACGGUGAAUACGUUCCCGGGUCUUGUACACACCGCCCGUCACACCAUGGGAGCGGGUUCCGCCAGAAGUAGGUAGCCUAACCGCAAGGAGGGCGCUUACCACGGCGGGGUUCGUGACUGGGGUGAAGUCGUAACAAGGUA